UCUACAUUCUACAUGAACCAAAUUCUAAUUCACCAAUUUCAAACCAAAUUACAAUACAUUCCAAAAUUAUACUUGAUUCAAUUUCCUAUGUUAAAAAUUGCAGGGUGGAUAUUCUGCAUCAAUGAUGUGCUGAACAGAAUGUCGGGUGCGAACUGCUUGGAUGCUUUGAAGGCUUGUUUGAAAUUUUGAAUGUGGCUGCUUCAGCUGCGGUGUGUUUCCGUUAGUCCUCUCCACUUCGUUUCAAUUUCUCUUUUCUUCAGUUCAAUGUUGCACACGACCUUG
rnacentral:lncRNA from 1 species